CACGUAGGGGCGAGCGUUGUCCGGAUUUAUUGGGCGUAAAGAGCUCGUAGGCGGCUCGGUAAGUCGGGUGUGAAACCUCCAGGCUCAACCUGGAGACGCCACUCGAUACUGCCGUGGCUAGAGUCCGGUAGAGGAGCGUAGAAUUCCUGGUGUAGCGGUGAAAUGCGCAGAUAUCAGGAGGAACACCGAUGGCGAAGGCAGGUCUCUGGGCCGAUACUGACGCUGAGGAGCGAAAGCGUGGGGAGCGAACAG
rnacentral:rRNA from 1 species